rnacentral:rRNA from 1 species
GAUGAACGCUAGCGAUAGGCUUAACACAUGCAAGUCGAGGGGCAGCAUGGUCUUAGCUUGCUAAGACUGAUGGCGACCGGCGCACGGGUGCGUAACGCGUAUGCAACUUGCCUCACAGAGGGGGAUAACCCGUCGAAAGACGGACUAAUACCGCGUACACUCCAUCUUGGGCAUCCAAGGUAGAGGAAAUGAAAUUCGCUGUGAGAUAGGCAUGCGUCCCAUUAGCUAGUUGGUGAGGUAACGGCUCACCAAGGCGACGAUGGGUAGGGGAACUGAGAGGUUGAACCCCCACACUGGUACUGAGACACGGACCAGACUCCUACGGGAGGCAGCAGUGAGGGAUAUUGGUCAAUGGGCGAGAGCCUGAACCAGCCAAGUCGCGUGAAGGAUGACUGUCUUAUGGAUUGUAAACUUCUUUUAUACGGGAAUAACAAGAGUCACGUGUGACUCCCUGCAUGUACCGUAUGAAUAAGCAUCGGCUAACUCCGUG